AGGACGAACGCUGGCGGCGUGCUUAACACAUGCAAGUGGAGCGACGAACCGGGGCUUGCCCCGGGGCAGAGCCGCGAACGGGUGAGUAACACGUGGGUAACCCACCUCGAUGAUUGGGACAACCCGGGGGAAACUCGGGCUAAUACCAAAUGUGCUCGUAGACCAUGAGGUCCAUGAGUAAAGAUAGCUUCGGCCUUCGCAUCGAGACGGGCCCGCGGCCCAUAGCUUGUUGGUGAGGUAACGGCUCACCAAAGGCGACGAUGGGUAGCUGGUCUGAGAGGACGAUCAGCCACACGUGGGACUGAGACACGGCCCAGACUCCUACGGGAGGCAGCAGUGGGAAUCGUUGCGCAAUGCGCGAAAGCGUGACGCAGCAACGCCGCGUGGAGGAAGACGGUCUUCGAUUGUAACU
rnacentral:rRNA from 1 species